GGGUGUCCAACUACAUGUCCCCAUUCAAAUGCAUUGAUCGUCCAAUAAAGAAAGGGGGGUUCCAACAUGUCCAACCUUCAGCCCCCCCCCCCCCUGGAUCCGUGCCUGUGAGGCAUGCUUUAGCUUGCCAUUAAACAAAAAUGUAUACUAGUUGAGUGAUAAUGGACGUCAUACUAAACUCUUCAAUAUAAAAAAAAGAAACUAAAAUAAAAAUCAUACAAAGGUCACAAAGGCCAUAACUUCUGGC
rnacentral:lncRNA from 1 species